rnacentral:rRNA from 1 species
GGGGAUAUUGCACAAUGGGGGGAACCCUGAUGCAGCGACGCCGCGUGGGUGAAGGAGCGUUUCGGCGCGUAAAGCCCUAUCGGCAGGGAAGAAGGAGGACGGUACCCGACCAAGAAGCCCCGGCUAACUACGGGCCAGCAGCCGCGGUAAUACGUAGGGGGCGAGCGUUAUCCGGAAUUACUGGGUGUAAAGGGAGCGUAGACGGCGAGGUAAGCCUGAAGUGGAAGCCCGCGGCCCAACCGCGGAACUGCUUUGGGAACUGUUUUGCUGGAGUAUGGGAGGGGUAAGCGGAAUUCCUGGUGUAGCGGUGAAAUGCGUAGAUAUCAGGAGGAACACCGGUGGCGAAGGCGGCUUACUGGACCAUAACUGACGUUGAGGCUCGAAAGCGUGGGGAGCGAACAGG